rnacentral:rRNA from 1 species
UGGGGAAUUUUGGACAAUGGGCGAAAGCCUGAUCCAGCCAUGCCGCGUGAGUGAAGAAGGCCUUCGGGUUGUAAAGCUCUUUUAGUCGGAAAGAAAGAGUCAUAGUAAAUAGCUAUGAUUUAUGACGGUACCGACAGAAAAAGC